rnacentral:tRNA from 1 species
GCCUGGCUGGCUCAGUCGGUAGAGCGAGCGACUCCUGAUCUCAGGGUGUGGGUUCGAGCCCCAUGUUGGGUG